rnacentral:lncRNA from 1 species
GGGUUCGAAUCCUGAAGGGAUCAAUUUUUUUUAUUUUUUUGAGUGCAUUAAUUUUAACAGCAAAUGCAUUAAUUUUUACCGUGAAUGCAUUAGAUUUGAUGGUUCUCCCGUUCUCACAAAUAAUGUAGUUCUCUCUAAAACCACACCCUAUAUAUAUAUAGGGGCGCGCUCCAAUGAGACCCCCUAUUUUUUCGUGUAACAUGAGUAUAAUGAAUAAGACAUAUAAUACUAAUAAACAAAACGUAUAUAUAAUGAACACGAUGUAUAUACUGAUGAAAAAUAAAAUUUAAAAAAUUCGUAAUGAAUAAGACAUAUAUACUGAUGAACAGGGCCAUAUAUACUGAU